AAGGGUAAAAUCGAGAUUUAAUUAUAAUAAUAAUUACAAAAAUAAACUAUAAAUUUUAAUAUAUAAACUAGGAUUAGAUACCCUAUUAUAAUUAAAGUGAAAAAUUGCCAGAUUAUUAACAGUUAUUUUCUUUAAAUCCAGAGAAUUUGGCGGUAUUUUAGUCCUUUUAGAGGAACCUGUUUCAUAAACGAUAAGCCACGAAUAUCUUACCUAAAUUUGUAUACCGUCAUUAUCAGAUAACUUUGAUAGAAUAAGUUGUUGAAAAUAAUAAAAUUAAGAAAAUUAGAUCAAGGGGCAGUUUAUAAUAAGGAGUAAAUGGGUUACAAUAAAAAUAGUUUAAACGAAAUUAAUAAUAAUGAAGGUGGAUUUAAUUGUAAUAUAAUUAAUUAUAAUUACUUGAUAUAGGCUCUAAAAUAUGUACAUAUCGCCCGUCGCUUUC
rnacentral:rRNA from 1 species